rnacentral:misc_RNA from 1 species
AAUUCAUUCGCCUGUUUCAUCCGGGAGAGGAAUGAGUGAAAAUUUCUCGCAGUUAGAAGAUUUUACUAGCUAUAAAGAGGCUUCUGCCAUUGUAUUCUAUGCUUCAGUUUUUCCUAUAGCCUUAAUCGCUAAUUUGAUUACUUUAAUUAUUUCGAUUAUUAUAAUAAGGUAAGUUCCUUUAUGUUAAAAUUGUCUAUUUUCACCUUAUAAGAAAACUCUCAACUCUGGCAAAUUGUAAUAUAAAUUCUAUGCUAUUUUGAGCCUAUAUGUAGAGACGUCUUAAUAAUUAUUCUAUAUGGAAAUAUAUAUAUAUAUACUAAUAUAACUAGUAUAUGAUAUUUCGGAUUAAUUCAUGAGGAUGUAUAAAUUUGAGCAGGUGGUUUAACUUACGCGUAAAUAAAUAGAUAGAGAGAAAGAGAAGUAGAGAAUGAAAAAGGGAGCGAGGGAGAGAGAAAGAGGGCGGGAGAAAGAGAAAGAGAAAACAAAAUAUUCCUUUAUAGGCCUAUCGUUUUCUAACGUAUUAGUCUAUUACAUUAUGUACAACGUCUAUUAACCGAUUAAAAGUAAUGUAAGUUGCAAAUGAAAAAUAGGGCUAACGUAAACAUAAAUUAUACAUACAUAAUGCUUAAUGAAUUAAUUGACGAAGAAAGGUUAAAGAUAAACGUUUAAUAACUUUAGGAAGAAAAACGUUUAAGAGGUGUAAUAAAACGAGAAGAGAAGGAGAGAAAGGGAGGAAGAAAAAGAGAGGGGGAUAGGUAAAUAGAUAGAUAGAUGGAUAGAUAGAGAUGGAAAGAGAAGAUGAAUGGCAAGCUCUUUGUUCUUUACAUAAAUCUAAUUUUAAAAGAUAGAAAGAAAGAAGGAAUAAGUGAUAUAAAGAAUAGUUCAUGUACAUCUAUAUACAUGAUAAAAAGGAAGAGAGAAUAAAAUGGAGAAUAGUGUGAGAGACAAAAUAAUGAUAAAAGGAGAGGGAGGAAUGAAUGGAAAAAGAAGAGAAAAAAGUUAAAAUUAGUACUCUAUAAGGAAUAUCCUAAAUAAUUAGGAUAAUCGUUUUUUAUUAUUUCUCUCUUUUCUCUUUUAUAGGUUUUUCUUUAAUAGCAAUUUAUCAACAUUUUUUUUCUCUUUUGUCUCGAUCCCUCUACCCUCGUCCUCUUCCUCUUCAACACAUACAUACACAGACACACACUCUCUCUCUUCCUUUCUUUCUUCUUUUCAUCUUUAUGAAUAGUAGAGUAUCCAUUAUAAAUUAGGAUUUAUCGGUAAAGUCAACUUUCCUUAUCUCGAGGCGAUUGCUUAAGAAAAUAUCAGAUAUUUUAUCGAAAUUAAUAUCUGACAAUAAUCGAAUUGUUCUCAUUCUAUACCAUUGUAAAAAUAUCAUCUGAAAAUGAAGGGGGGUCUUUAAGGAUUCAAUCGCCAGAAAGAAAAGGAAAGGUCAUGGGGAAAAUAUCGAUAUGAUACUUUUUGAAAGAGAAAAGGUAAUAACUCAUAUCAAAAUCCGAUCAAUCCUAACGUACCCAACUAAUAGACGUCUAAUUAAUUGAUCAACCUGGUUUGUAUAUUUUUGCAGACAUCAGCAAAGCAGGAAAUCUAUACAAGAUAUUCUCGUUGCGUGCUUAGCCUCAUCCGAUAUUUUUUGCCUCCUCGCCUUUCACGUCACAUCGCUAUUUCUCCAGAAAUCUAAUCAUGUUCCGCAAGUGCUCUGUCAAUUUCAAGCGGCGUCCUUGAGCGUUUACCUUAAAUCCAUUUGCAUAGUGCAGGUUUUGUCAUCUACCGAGCGUUACAUAACAGUGGCGUCUCCUUUAAAAUAUAGAAUACUAAUUAGUAAAGCUGUUCCAAUAUUGAUCUCUUUGAUUUGUCUGAUAAUUUUAAAUACGAUAAUUGGAACUUGGACUUCUUGGGACGACAUAAAAACUUUAGAAACAUGGACUGUGUGUGUUCCAGUCUACUCUCCAUCCGAGAGUUCUUCUCUACCAGAUUGUCUGCUUGUCAUCAUCAAUGCCAUUCUCUUCCUCAUCGUUAUGGGAACGUUCAUCCUAACUAAUGGCGCUCUUAUUAGAAUAUUACGAAAGUACUUGAGAAUGAGGUUACAGGCAGUCGUUGAGCAGGUUGACGAAGCGUGCGGUAACCUAGUCAAGAAAGUAACUUUAAAGCAUUCCAAAUCCAAGAUAACUUCAUCCAGUAAAAGAGCGUCCGAAAUCAAAAUCAGAUACAAUUCAGAAAAGUAUUUGAAAGAAUCAACACCACCGCAAAAAUCCUUCCCGAAGGCGGCCUCUUUUAAUACAUUCCCUGUUAACGAAGGCAAGGCGUCUAAAUCCUUGUUGACUGUCUCUGACGACGCAUCAGAACCGAGACGUCAUUCUGUUGCUGUAUUCCUACGUUCUAGAAGAGAAAGUGACGAAUCGACUAUUUCAACUCGAAGUACAAGAAUGAGCGAAGGUUCUCAAGCGUUUAACGGCCGAUUAGAAAGAUUAGUUGAAUCUGUCAACUGCAAAGUACGAGUUUUACGACAGCAAAGUGAACACGAAGAUAAAAUGAAGCGACCCUACACAGUCGAUUAUAACCGACAAUGCAGCUAUAAUAUGCUAAAGGAUAACGUUAAAAGUGUUCCCGCUGUUCCAGCGGAAAGACAAGCCUAUUUUAACAAACAACUAAGCAUACUACAAGAUAAACUACACAAGAAAGCUUAUGGACAACAGAAAGACUUAAUCUUAGCAAGAUUGAUGACUCUUUGCGCUUCCUCCUUUAUCAUUACCUGGCUUCCAUUUUGCGUGCUUUUCCUUUUAUCCAUCACGAAAACGUCCUACAACCCAAUUUUUCAGGAUAUUGCUUUUAAGGUGCUGCUUUCGAAUUUAUUCAUAAAUCCGUUAUUGAACGUACUGUGCAAAGCCAAAUAUGCCAAAGGAUUUUUAUAUGUUUGGAAACUAUUUUUGUAUUGGUUAACUUUUGGGUAUGCCGAUGGACCAUCGGAAAAUUUAAUAUUCUAUCAAGUUCGUCCGAAGAAGAGGAAGAGAAAGGUCGAAGAUAAAUACAAAGCUGAAGCUUUACAUGUAAUUCACCAAGAACUACGUAAGCCUGGCUCAGAUUUAGCUCGUUUCGCGCCAUCUAGUAGAUUGCAAAUACUAUUUGAUAAAUACGUUUUGGAAGCACAGGCGAGUGGUAGUAGUUCAAGUGAAUCGAUUGAUUACGGAUUUUUAGCUUUGGAUAUUGUUGCCCCCUCUGAAGACGAUGAUAUCGAUUUAGGUAUCGAUUAUGACGCAUUAAUUAGGUCAGAAUGCGAGGAUCCGAUAAUUUCGAUACCGGUACCGAAUACAAAAACCGAAGGUCAAGCUUGGGUCUAACAAAAUAAGGAAAUAUAAAAUAUUAAGAGAGAAGAAUAAGAAGAUAUUAGAAUGAAGUAAUUGAUUAAUGAAUUACGUAAUAACCUUUAAAGGAUGAGAACAAUGUUGGAAAACACGCGAUAGUUAAAUGAUUCGAAUCAUAUAUUAUGUAAAAAAAAUGAUUAAAGAAAUUAUGAAUAAAUUAUAAAAAGUAUAUUGUUUGUACUUGUCAUUGUUAAAAUAUACUGUAUUAUUCAACAUAAGGCAAGAUUAAAUCAUUAAAUAACUACCUAAACGAUAAUAAUUAGUUACUGUUUACAAUUGUUUCACUAAUAUUACCAAUCCCAAAGAAGAAGUAAAUGUUAACCUUUCAUGCAUAUAUUCUCUCUUUCUCUCCUUAAUGGACACACACACACACACACACACAC